AACUUUGCACAGUGGCAGUGUUGUAGCCAAUGAGGUUUAUCAGAGGCACAAUUAUUGCUAAUUGAAAAAUCAGUGCCCAAAUCAA
ensembl:snRNA U4 U4 spliceosomal RNA